rnacentral:rRNA from 1 species
UACAGAGACUGCAAGCGUUAUUCGGAUUCACUGGGCGUAAAGGGUGCGCAGGCGGCCAAGUGUGUUAGGCGUGAAAGCCUGAGGCUUAACCUCAGAAUUGCACCUAAAACUACAUGGCUAGAGCAUUGGAGAGGGUAGCGGAAUUCACGGUGUAGCAGUGAAAUGCGUAGAUAUCGUGAGGAACACCAGAGGCGAAGGCGGCUACCUGGACAAUUGCUGACGCUCAGGCACGAAAGCGUGGGGAGCAAACAGG